rnacentral:rRNA from 1 species
AUUGAACGCUGGCUGCAGGCCUAACACAUGCAAGUCGAACGAGUGGCGGACGGGUGAGUAAUGUCUGUGAAACUGCCCGAUGGAGGGGGAUAACUACUGGAAACGGUAGCUAAUACCGCAUACCAUCGGAUGUGCCCAGAUGGUAUUAGCUAGUAGGUGGGGUAACGGCUCACCUAGGCGACGAUCACUAGCUGGUCUGAUGGGAUGAAAUGCCAUAUGGGAACUGAGACAGGGUCCAGAAUCCGACGUGAUGCAGCAGUGGGGAAUAUUGCACAAUGGGCGCAAGCCUGAUGCAGCCAUGCCGCGUGUAUGAAGAAGGCCUUCGGGUUGUAAAGUACUUUCAGCGAGGAGGCGUUACUCGCAGAAGAAGCACCGGCUAACUCCGUGCCAGCAGCCGCGGUAAUAC